UUGCCGGAUGUGACGUCACAUUGUUGUUUGUUUUUUGCUUUUUGAAAUAGUUACUCUCGAACUCAGACAUUAGGGCUCGCUCCUCGUUCACGCGCGCAUUGUGAGCAUUCAAGUUUCGUUUUUUGCACUUGCUUAGAAGCUGAAAUUGCGGACAUUGCGGGGUUGGGCUUGAUGACAUUUGUUGCUCAGCUGCCGCGACGCAUUUGGAGCAAAGCUUCUGCUUAUUUCUUUUGGCCGCACCUUAUAUUUGUUGUCUUUGUCAACAUCUGACCUGUUUCUGCCUUGUUGAAAGCAAGUGGCCACAAGUACUGCUUAGUUUGCUCAGUCUAAACCUGGCCACUUCACAACUGCAAGGUGAAUCUGAUGUAGGCAGUGUCAGGGUCAUGGCCCAUAUUUUGGUGAACGCCAAGAAUGCAUCCUGUGACUGAAGUUUGAGCAUUUGAGCCCACCUUUUGGAAGUGCUUUUUAUGUGCACUCAGUAAGUGACAGUCAGUGAUCCUAGAGGCAAAACUUAUUGUUCUGCAUUAUGCAAAUGUUUUUAUAUUUUCACUAAUAUACUGUGGUCACUAUUACUAUGCACUGUUUAAAAGGUGUUGAAAAUAAAAAGCUACUUAUUUGCCCUAAUAUAAUGUAGAAAUAAGCAUUCUGCAGUCUGAAAAGUGAAGGAAAAAAAACACACAAGAAAAGAAAAAAUCACUGCCCAAGCACUCCAUACAGAUGGUUAACCAGCAAAGCUGAAACGAGCGGCCGCGGUGUUUAUGACUGGGUUAAUUACGUCUUUGUGUUUCUUAAUGAGGUUACACACACGUUCGGCUGCGACGUAGAGAACGACGUCACUUGAUGGUGUGUCCGCCAUUGUCGCCUGCGUUCGAUGUCUCAUGUUUGCUUGGCGGUGUGGUUAGCAGCAUUUGCCCGCCAUUGCCGCUUGCGAUUCUUUGAAAUUAAAUUGCUUCAAAAUUAAAUCUGUCCGUCACGUAAGAUAAUGAGUGGCUCAUACCUCCUUAAGCAAUGGCUCAUGCGGCCUCCCCAUUAAGAAGGCACAAGAGAAGUGAAAUUCUACGCUGGAAUUAUGAGCCGCAACGGAGCCAGCUGUGGAAGAAGACAACGAACGCGGGAGCAGUGGCAUGAGUGAAACCAGAGGGGCGCCAACAAGCCAGCUGCGUAAGAGACGGUGCUCGAGCCAAUGCUGAUGAUGAUAGUUAUCUGUACACAGGCGACAGACACACGCUUUUUCGUUUCGCUUAGCCAUAUAAAGCUUCGUUUUAAAAACAUUAUGGUCGCAAGAUUCACAACCACUUUAGCCAAUUAUAAAAUCAUUGAAGUGCACGCAAACAGCCUCUACAUUGUGUCUGUGAAAGACACUGCUGCAUCUUCCUGUAGCAUUAUGCACCUUAGCUUUGUGUGGAAGCCGCGGUUGUUGUACUGUGCUGCACCGCAAUGAACCUUGGU